rnacentral:rRNA from 1 species
GUUGUUGCAGUUAAAAAGCUCGUAGUUGGAUUUCUGGUCUGUCCAACUCGGUCCGGUACAAUGUAUUGCGACUGUGGUUGGAUCGUCCCAUCCUUGCGGGGACUAUGGAUGCCAUUGAGUUGGUGUUCCUAGGAACCGCAUCGUUUACUGUGAAAAAAUUAGAGUGUUCAAAGCAGGCUUAUGCCGUGAAUACUUUAACAUGGAAUAAUAGAAUAGGACUCUGGUUCUAUUUUGUUGGUUG